CUUUGGCGAUGGAGUGAGGUUUCAACGUCACUGGGAAAGUUUACUCUAAUGACAGUUGUUUCGUUUCUGACCUCAGCAUCGGAGUUUCCUGAUAAGACAGAUGUAUCAGCAGAGUUUAAAGCGGAGCUACUCUGACAAACAUGGCUAUUUCCCCACCCUCUGGAAUUAUUACCCAACCGGAGAUGCAGCAGAAUCAAUGGCCCCCGGUUGGCAGCUAAUUGGAAAGAGGCAGCGCCGGAGAACUUAAUUGUGACACACAGCAGCCCCU